rnacentral:rRNA from 1 species
UACGUAGGGCGCAAGCGUUAUCCGGAAUUAUUGGGCGUAAAGAGCUCGUAGGCGGUUUGUCGCGUCUGCUGUGAAAGACCGGGGCUCAACUCCGGUUCUGCAGUGGGUACGGGCAGACUAGAGUGCAGUAGGGGAGACUGGAAUUCCUGGUGUAGCGGUGAAAUGCGCAGAUAUCAGGGGGAACACCGAUGGCGAAGGCAGGUCUCUGGGCUGUAACUGACGCUGAGGAGCGAAAGCAUGGGGAGCGAACAGG